GCUUUGUCUGUCAGACUUUCUUGUUAUACCCUAGGAGACACAGGAUGCAUUGAUGCCUUCUAGUGUACUGUGUGGCUGAACAGGACAGCUUUGCACAAUAUGUGACAGAGGGUACUGUGCAACUUCACUUUCUUGGAUGAGCUGUGCAAAGCACCA
rnacentral:lncRNA from 1 species